GACGCUGGCGGCGUGCCUAAUACAUGCAAGUCGAACGCUUCUUUUUCCACCGGAGCUUGCUCCACCGGAAAAAGAAGAGUGGCGAACGGGUGAGUAACACGUGGGUAACCUGCCCAUCAGAAGGGGAUAACACUUGGAAACAGGUGCUAAUACCGUAUAACAAUCAAAACCGCAUGGUUUUGAUUUGAAAGGCGCUUUCGGGUGUCGCUGAUGGAUGGACCCGCGGUGCAUUAGCUAGUUGGUGAGGUAACGGCUCACCAAGGCCACGAUGCAUAGCCGACCUGAGAGGGUGAUCGGCCACAUUGGGACUGAGACACGGCCCAAACUCCUACGGGAGGCAGCAGUAGGGAAUCUUCGGCAAUGGACGAAAGUCUGACCGAGCAACGCCGCGUGAGUGAAGAAGGUUUUCGGAUCGUAAAACUCUGUUGUUAGAGAAGAACAAGGAUGAGAGUAACUGUUCAUCCCUUGACGGUAUCUAACCAGAAAGCCACGGCUAACUACGUGCCAGCAGCCCGCGGUAAAUACGUAGGUGGGCAAAGCGUUGUCCGGGAUUUUAUUGGGGCGUAAAAGCGAGCGCAGGGCGGUUUUCUUAAAGUCUGAUGUGAAAAGCCAACCGGGC
rnacentral:rRNA from 1 species